rnacentral:lncRNA from 1 species
AUGGAUCAGGUAAUGAUGCAGUUGGUAGAGUCAAGUUGGCAGUUUAUAAAGGACUCAAUUUGGCUGGUUAAAAGAUGCACCAAACCCAACAAAAAAGAAUUCCAGAAGAUCGCCAUGGCCACAGCUAUAGGAUUUGCUAUCAUGGGAUUCAUUGGUUUCUUCAUGAAACUGAUCCAUAUCCCUAUUAAUAACAUUAUUAUGGGUGGCUGA